GACUUCUGGAAUGGACAGUUUUGUGAGACAAGUAAGAGUUAUAGUAGAUAUCAAUAAAUCUCAAGAACAUUUAUCCGAGCUAUAACUAGAACGAACAUAUGGGGAUGGCAUUACUACAUAUAUUAUACACCUAAAACGUAUCCUGAUAUCUAACUAUCUUAUGUUAUGAGAAAAAAAAACAACAAAAAAACAACUCACGAUGGAAACUUCCCAAAUAACAAUAGAGAGGAGAGGAGGUGAUAAUGAUAAAAACACAACAAGUGCAGCACUGCAAAUGUAGUUCCCUGUCAGAAUACUAAUAAAAACAAGGAAACUGAGAUAAAUCUUUAAAGAUCUUCAAAUGUUACAAAAUAGAUCAUCGAUUAGGAUUUAUAAAAAAAUAAACCGAAAAGAAAUAAAUUGGAAGUUUUACCAUUUAAAAUCACAUUAUGCUAGAACCGUUUUUGUAAUAUUAAUGAAUUACAUGAUUGAUCUCCUAUUCAUUAAAAGUCUCGACGUAUGUAAGAAGUUAUACUUUUAUUAUAUAACCGUUCAUUUUAGUUAUAGAAAUAUUCCUAUCAAUCUCUGAAGUGGACAGUUGUGACUUAUGUAAUUAUGUCAUCCUCUGAUCGUAAUUUUGAAAUAUGUCUUGAGUUUCUUUAGUUUGAUUAAAUGAUUUAAAACAGUUAUAAUUCUGAUGUUGUUUAUCCUUUUGGAAACAAACCCAUCAAUUUGCUAUUUUCCCUUUAAAUUUUCUGUAUAGUUUGCAAUUGUACAUUACUUUGUUUCAGAUGCACAUUAACCGAUAUUACAGUUGAACAGUAGGAAUACAUUUCAUGAAUUUCAAGAACUUUGAGCUUCCUUUUGGUGAAUGCUUGACCCCAGAAAAUAAUUAUUGAACAUAUUUAACAAAAGGGAAAUCCCAAAUACUUAUCACAUCUCAUAUAUUUCAUAACAGAAAUAGACAAUAAGGCAUGCCUAUAUGUAGAAGUUGUGCAAUGAAACAAUAUGAACAUAUCAUAAACAUCAUAGAAAUAAGAAUUACUCACUAUGAUGUAUUAAAAACAAGACAGCUAUCCAUAAGUUGAUGUCAUAUUCUGUAGAUCUAUAGUUAAUUUGUCUUCUUGUUAAAUCAUGUUCAUGCAAUCUUCUACGUUUCGUUACAAUGAAUUUGGCAAUUACGGUUUUAAAGUAUUAUAUAACUUUUAACCAGGUUUUUUGUAAUAUAUAUUCAUCCUUUUUAUUUAGAAAAAUUAUACUUAAUGUACAACAUAAAAAUCAUCAGAAACCGUUAAAAGCUUAAUUUAUGUAUAUACAAUUGAAAUCUUUUGUUUACUACGUUAUUAAAUGAUAAUAUAUUGUUAUAAUAUUUGUUUUUGUCAAUUAUUUUUUUAUAUACUUUUUUUCUGUAAAAAUGGGUGCAUUUUUAGCUCACCUGGCCCGAAGGGCCAAGUGAGCUUUUCUCACCACUUGGCGUCCGUCUCCGUCGUCGUCGUCGUUAACAAUUUACAUUAGAACUUCUUCUAGAGAACACUGAAUGGAAUGGAACCAAACAUGAGUGUUCCUUAUGAGGUGCUGACAAGUGUCUUACUUUGUAGCCAUCCAUUAUCCAAGAUGGCCACCAGCGGGACUUAGUUAACAUAGGACCUAUUGAAAUGCAUACAAAUGACUUCUUUUAGAGAACCACUGAAUGGAAUAAAACCAAACAUUGCAUGAAUGUUCCUUAUGAGGUGCUGACAAGUGUUGUUUAUUUAUAGCCGAUCCAUCAUCCAAGAUGGCCGCCAGCAGGGGACUUAGUUUAACAUAGGACCCUAUGGGAAAUGCAUACAAAUGAUUCUUUUAGAGAACACUGAAUGAAUAAAAACAAACAUGGCAUGAAUGUUCCUUAUGAGGUGCUGACAAGUGUUGUUACUUUGUAGCGAUCCGUCAUCCAGAUGGCCGCCAGUGGGGACUUUUGAAUGAAUUAAACAUGUUCUUUCCUUAUAUGAGUUGUGUUGUCAUUUUAGCCAAAUUUUAUAUUUUUUUAUAUGAUUUCAAAAACCCAAGUAGAAUCAGGUGAGCGAUACAGGCUCUUGAGAGCCUCUAGUUUUUUAAUGUUAUACUUUAUUUAUGUCACGACCGAAACCAUGUUAGAACGCAAUCAUGAAUACAUUCAGUAAAAUUUUUUUUACUGUAGUAGGUAAAAUGGAAAAUCGUUUCUAAUUUUAAAUUUCUGUGUUCAAAUAUAUGUUUAACACAACCAAAAUAGAAGCGAGAAAAGAUUUCAAAAUAAAUAAGAGAUGAAACAAUGUAAACUAUUUGCCUUAUUCAUUGUUCUGUUUUUUAUUGCUCACCUUAAUUAUUUGGUCUUUUAUAGAAAGAAAUAUUACUGGACAAUGCACAGAAUCGGUACAAUGCCAGGACACACUGCAUUGUAUUAGCGGAAUCUGCCAAUGUGAUGUCAAGGAUUAUUGGACACAAACAGCAUGUGCAAAAAGUAAUGUUUUAUUGAAUACGUGCUUAUCAUUUCCACUACAAUAAAAAAACAUGCAUUUUUGAUAACCUUCUGUAACACUCAUUCAUCAAUUAAAAAAGCGAUAACUUCGAAUUCACAAACAAACAAGAUGUUGUUUCAAGAGAAAUUAUUCCUUACACAUAAGUUAACUGGUAUUUCCAACUACAUCUAAAAGGUUAACAAAGGAAUAGGAAAUGAGUGUCAAUAAAUAGCAUUCUGCACAAUAAAUAUCUACUGACCAUUUUUAAAAUCUUUUUUUUAGUUCUCUCAUAGAGAUUUGAUUAUCAUAAAGCAUUAUUUUUGUCGUUUGUUGAUUCUUUGGGUACUUGUAAAUAAUCUUGACGUAUACAUGAGGAUAAAUAUUUUGUACACCAGAUAGGCGUUUUGUUUACACAGGUCUCAUCAAUGACACGCGAUUCAAAUUAUAAAACGGGUAAAUGAAGUAGAAAGUUGAAAAAAAUCGAGAACCUAAAUUUCAAAUGGUUUCGCCAAAUACAUCUGAAGAAAUAAAUUUCUAGGGUAUAACAUCCUUAUUAUCCGAAAAGUUCUCCGUUUUAAAAACAGAUAAUUUAUAUUUAUCAUGUUUAUGACAAUAUCAAUAAUACACCAUGUUAAAAAAAAGAAGUGUGUACUACUGGGAUAAUGAUAAAAGAGGGACGAAAGAUACCAGAGGGACAGUCAAACUCAUACAUCGAAAAUAAAUUGCCAAGCCAUGGCUAAAAAUGAAAAAGACAAACAGACAAACAAUAGUACACAUGACACAACAUAGAAAACUAAAUGAUAACCUCGGGGAGAAAACUCCACCGGCCGACUUAUCAACCAAUUUGUUGCAACGAAUAUGACAGUCGUUUUCCGCCGUUUGAUAUGUUGGAGUCUUUGAUUUUGCCAUUUGAUAUUGGACUUUCCGAUUUUAAUUUUCCACGGUCUUUGGUAUUUUUGUUAUUUUAUUUUAUAUACUAUUACAUUAACAUCUGAUCUACCCUAUGAACUUUUCUGGUACAACUAAAGCGGACGCAAAAAAAACAUUUGAAAAACUCACCUUUGUUUAAAACUAUUGUACUUUUUACCUUAUUGUACCUUUUUCAAAGAUACUUUACAAUCAGGUAUGUGUGGUAUAUGAGGUUAUUACGUUUUUAACAAUAUUCUACAUUUAUCCUAGAGUUAUCUUACUCUAAAAUUAUGCUAUAAUUUUCAUAGAUAUUUGUGCUACUGAACAGUGUUUGAAUGGAGGAAAAUGUCAGAUCACUGAAAAAAGACAUAAGUGUGUGUGUGCUGACGGCUAUCUCGGCGACAAAUGUCAGUUUGGAGGUAUUAAUAAUAUAUUUAUCAUCAUAUUUCAAAAUUUCAAC
rnacentral:lncRNA from 1 species